ACCCCCGUCGUGGGGGAUAACACAGCGAAAGUUGUGCUAAUACCGCAUACGACCUGAGGGUGAAAGCGGGGGACCGUAAGCCCUCGCGCGAUGGGAGCGGCCGAUAUCGGAUUAGCUAGUUGGUGAGGUAAAGGCUCACCAAGGCGACGAUCCGUAGCUGGUCUGAGAGGACGACCAGCCACACUGGAACUGAGACACGGUCCAGACUCCUACGGGAGGCAGCAGUGGGGAAUUUUGGACAAUGGGGGCAACCCUGAUCCAGCCAUUCCGCGUGAGUGAAGAAGGCCUUCGGGUUGUAAAGCUCUUUCGGCAGGAACGAAACGGUGGUCCUUAAUACGGGCUACUAAUGACGGUACCUGAAGAAGAAGCACCGGCUAACUACGUGCCAGCAGCCGCGGUAAUA
rnacentral:rRNA from 1 species